rnacentral:rRNA from 1 species
GACGAACGCUGGCGGCGCGCCUAACACAUGCAAGUCGAGCGGAGAUAUUUGAAGGAAGUUUUCGGAUGGAAUUUGGGUAUUUUAGCGGCGGACGGGUGAGUAACGCGUGAGUGACCUGCCUUCCACAGGGGGAUAACGUACCGAAAGGUACACUAAUACCGCAUGAGACCACAGCACUGCCUGGUGCAGGGGUCAAAGGAGCAAUCCGGUGGAAGAUGGACUCGCGUCCGAUUAGAUAGUUGGUGGGGUAACGGCCUACCAAGUCAGCGAUCGGUAGCCGACCUGAGAGGGUGAGCGGCCACAUUGGAACUGAGGGACGGUCCAAACUCCUACGGGAGGCAGCAGUGGGGAAUAUUUGGCAAUGGGGGAAACCCUGACCCAGCGACGCCGCGUGAGGGAAGAAGGUUUUCGGAUUGUAAACCUCUGUUCUUGGUGAAGAGGGAAAGACGGUAGCCAAGGAGGAAGCCCCGGCUAACUACGUGCCAGCCGCCGCAGUAA